rnacentral:rRNA from 1 species
CAGGCCUAACACAUGCAAGUCGAACGGAAAGGCCCUGUUUUUGUGGGGUGCUCGAGUGGCGAACGGGUGAGUAACACGUGAGUAACCUGCCCUUGACUUUGGGAUAACUUCAGGAAACUGGGGCUAAUACCGGAUAGGAGCUCCUGCUGCAUGGUGGGGGUUGGAAAGUUUCGGCGGUUGGGGAUGGACUCGCGGCUUAUCAGCUUGUUGGUGGGGUAGUGGCUUACCAAGGCUUUGACGGGUAGCCGGCCUGAGAGGGUGACCGGCCACAUUGGGACUGAGAUACGGCCCAGACUCCUACGGGAGGCAGCAGUGGGGAAUAUUGCACAAUGGGCGGAAGCCUGAUGCAGCAACGCCGCGUGCGGGAUGACGGCCUUCGGGUUGUAAACCGCUUUCGCCUGUGACGAAGCGUGAGUGACGGUAAUGGGUAAAGAAGCACCGGCUAACUACGUGCCAGCAGCCGCGGUAAUAAU